UACGGGGGGGCGAAGCGUUGUUCGGAAUUACUGGGCGUAAAGGGCUCGUAGGCGCCAACUAAGUCAGACGUGAAAUCCCUCGGCUUAACCGGGGAACUGCACUUGUGACUGCAAGGCUGGAGUACGGCAGAGGGGGAUGGAAUUCCGCGUGUAGCAGUGAAAUGCGUAGAUAUCGGGAGGAACACCGAUGGCGAAGGCAGGUCUCUGGGCCGA
rnacentral:rRNA from 1 species